GGGCAGUAGCAAUACUGUCAGUGGCGCACGGGUGCGUAACGCGUAGAUAAUCUACCUUCCAGCUGGGGACGACUGAGGGAAACCUUAGCUAAUACCCUAUAAGACCACGGGGCCUGCGGGCUCUGAGGGAAAAGGCGGCCUCUGUAUAUGCUGUCACUGGGAGAUGAGUCUGCGUCCCAUCAGCUAGUUGGUGAGGUAAUGGCUCACCAAGGCGAAGACGGGUAGCUGGUCUGAGAGGAUGAUCAGCCACACUGGCACUGGAACACGGGCCAGACUCCUACGGGAGGCAGCAGUGGGGAAUAUUGGGCAAUGGGCGCAAGCCUGACCCAGCCACGCCGCGUGAGUGAUGAAGGCCUUCGGGUUGUAAAGCUCUGUGGGGAGAGAAGAAAAACUGCUGGCUAAUAUCCAUCAGGUUGACGGUAUCUCCUUAGCAAGCACCGGCUAACUCUGUGCCAGCAGCCGCGGUAAGACAGAGGGUGCAAACGUUGCUCGGAUUUACUGGGCGUAAAGCGCAUGUAGGCGGGCGAAUAAGUCGGGUGUGAAAUCCCUGGGCUCAACCUAGGAACUGCAUUCGAAACUGUUCACCUAGAGUAGUGGAGAGGAAAGCGGAAUUCCGGGUGUAGAGGUGAAAUUCGUAGAUAUCCGGAGGAACACCAGUGGCGAAGGCGGCUUUCUGGACACUAACUGACGCUGAGAUGCGAAAGCGUGGGGAGCAAACAGGAUUAGAUACCCUGGUAGUCCACGCCGUAAACGAUGAGUGCUGGGUGUCUUGGGUAUUGACCCCCGAGGCGCCGUAGCUAACGCGUUAAGCACUCCGCCUGGGGAGUACGGUCGCAAGACUAAAACUCAAAGGAAUUGACGG
rnacentral:rRNA from 1 species